rnacentral:rRNA from 1 species
UACGUAGGGGGCAAGCGUUGUCCGGAAUCAUUGGGCGUAAAGCGCGCGUAGGCGGCCCGGCAAGUCCGCUGUGAAAGUCGGGGGCUCAACCCUCGGAUGCCGGUGGAUACUGUCGGGCUUGAGUGCGGAAGAGGCGAGUGGAAUUCCUGGUGUAGCGGUGAAAUGCGCAGAUAUCAGGAGGAACACCAAUGGCGAAGGCAGCACUCUGGGACGUGACUGACGCUGAGACGCGAAAGCGUGGGGAGCAAACAGG